UCGUAGGUACCAUAGCCCUUGGGAA
rnacentral:sRNA from 1 species